UACGUAGGGGGCUAGCGUUGUCCGGAAUCAUUGGGCGUAAAGAGCGUGUAGGCGGUCCGGUAAGUCCGCUGUGAAAGUCGGGGGCUCAACCCUCGAAUGCCGGUGGAUACUGUCGGGCUAGAGUGCGGAAGAGGCGAGUGGAAGUUCCUGGUGUAGCGGUGAAAUGCGCAGAUAUCAGGAGGAACACCUAUUGCGAAGGCAGCUCGCUGGGACGUAACUGACGCUGGAGACGCGAAAAGCGUGGGGAGCAAACAGG
rnacentral:rRNA from 1 species